UGGAGGGUGGCUUGGUGGGGGCAGGGUCGGGGACAGCAGGCAGGGGCCAGCCCCUGAGAUCGUCUCUGCUCCCUCUCUGCAGGCCUGGAGUUUGCCUACUCAGAGGCCCCGCGCUCCAUGCAGGGCGCCAUCAUGGGCAUCUUCUUCUGCCUGUCGGGGGUGGGCUCACUGUUGGGCUCCAGCCUAGUGGCACUGCUGUCCUUGCCCGGGGGCUGGCUGCACUGCCCCGAGGACUUUGGGAACAUCAACAAUUGCCGGAUGGACCUCUACUUCUUCCUGCUGGCUGGCAUUCAGGCCGUCACGGCUCUCCUAUUUGUCUGGAUUGCUGGACGCUAUGAGAGGGCGUCCCAGGGCCCAGCUUCCCACAGCUGUUUCAGCAGGGACAGGGGCUGAACAGGCCCUAUUCCAGCCCCCUUGCUUCACUCCACCAGACAGACGGCAGCAGUCCCAGCUCUGGUUUCCUUCUCGGUUUAUUCUGUUAGAAUGAAAUGGUUCCCAUAAAUAAGGGGCAUGAGCCCUUCCUC
rnacentral:sRNA from 1 species